AGGUCCCGCCUGCCCAGUGACAAAAUUCAACGGCCACGGUAUCCUAACCGCGCAAAGGUAGCAUAAUCACUUGUUCUUUAAAUGGGGACUCGUAUCAACGGCAUCACGAGGGUUAUACUGUCUCCUCUUUCAAGUCAGUGAAACUAAUCUCCCCGUGAAGAAGCGAGGAUAAUAAUAUAAGACGAGAAGACCCUAUGGAGCUUCAAACCCAACUACAACCCAUAAUUCUAUAACCCCUCAACCCCUUGGGCCCUAUAUAGUUGGUUUUAGGUUGGGGCGACCACGGAGUACAACAAAACCUCCACAAUGAACGGGGCUACCCCCUUAUCUAAGAAUUACACCCCUAAGAAUUAGAAUACUAACAUAAAAUGAUCCAUUAUUUGAUCAAUGAACCAAGUUACCCUAGGGAUAACAGCGCAAUCCGUUUCAAGAGCUCCUAUCGACAAACGGGUUUACGACCUCGAUGUUGGAUCAGGGUAUCCUAGUGGUGCAGCAGCUACUAAUGGUUCGUUUGUUCAACGAUUAAAACCCUACGUGAUCUGAGU
rnacentral:rRNA from 1 species